rnacentral:rRNA from 1 species
AUUGAACGCUGGCGGCAUGCCUUACACAUGCAAGUCGAACGGUAACGGGCCUUCGGGUGCCGACGAGUGGCGAACGGGUGAGUAAUACAUCGGAACGUGCCCGAUCGUGGGGGAUAACGAGGCGAAAGCUUUGCUAAUACCGCAUACGAUCUACGGAUGAAAGCAGGGGACCGCAAGGCCUUGCGCGGACGGAGCGGCCGAUGGCAGAUUAGGUAGUUGGUGGAUAAAAGCUUACCAAGCCGACGAUCUGUAGCUGGUCUGAGAGGAUGAUCAGCCACACUGGGACUGAGACACGGCCCAGACUCCUACGGGAGGCAGCAGUGGGGAAUUUUGGACAAUGGGCGCAAGCCUGAUCCAGCCAUGCCGCGUGCAGGAUGAAGGCCUUCGGGUUGUAAACUGCUUUUGUACGGAACGAAAAGCCUUCUUUUAAUACAGGAGGGUCAUGACGGUACCGUAAGAAUAAGCACCGGCUAACUACGUG